rnacentral:rRNA from 1 species
AACGAACGCUGGCGGCAGGCCUAACACAUGCAAGUCGAACGCCGUAGCAAUACGGAGUGGCAGACGGGUGAGUAACACGUGGGAACGUACCCUUCGGUUCGGGAUAACUCAGGGAAACUUGAGCUAAUACCGGAUACGUCCGAGAGGAGAAAGAUUUAUUGCCGAGGGAUCGGCCCGCGUCUGAUUAGCUUGUUGGUGAGGUAACGGCUCACCAAGGCGACGAUCAGUAGCUGGUCNGAGAGGAUGAUCAGCCACAUUGGGACUGAGACACGGCCCAAACUCCUACGGGAUGCAGC